rnacentral:rRNA from 1 species
GCCAGCAGCCAUAUCACCCUGCAGCUCCAAGCUGGCAGCCCCACUGGAGCUCAGCAGGUGUGAGCCUGGUCAGUACCUGGGUGGGAGACUCCUGGGAAAAACCAAGGUUGCUGCUGGAC